rnacentral:rRNA from 1 species
AGAGUUUGAUCCUGGCUCAGAACGAACGCUGGCGGCAGGCUUAACACAUGCAAGUCGAACGAUAUAGUGGCAGACGGGUGAGUAACGCGUGGGAACGUGCCUUUCACUACGGAAUAGCUUCUGGAAACGGAAGGUAAUACCGUAUACGCCCUCAGGGGGAAAGAUUUAUCGGUGAAAGAUCGGCCCGCGUUAGAUUAGGUAGUUGGUGAGGUAACGGCUCACCAAGCCGACGAUCUAUAGCUGGUCUGAGAGGAUGAUCAGCCACACUGGGACUGAGACACGGCCCAGACUCCUACGGGAGGCAGCAGUGGGGAAUCUUGCACAAUGGGCGAAAGCCUGAUGCAGCCAUGCCGCGUGAAUGAUGAAGGCCUUAGGGUUGUAAAAUUCUUUCGCUAGGGACGAUAAUGACGGUACCUAGUAAAGAAGCCCCGGCUAACUUCGUGCCAGCAGCCGCGGUAAUACGAAGGGGGCUAGCGUUGUUCGGAAUUACUGGGCGUAAAGCGCACGUAGGCGGACUAGCAAGUUGGAGGUGAAAUCCCGAUGCUCAACAUCGGAACUGCCUUCAAAACUGCUAGUCUAGAGUUCAGGAGAGGUAAGUGGAAUACCGAGUGUAGAGGUGAAAUUCGUAGAUAUUCGGUGGAACACCAGUGGCGAAGGCGACUUACUGGACUGAUACUGACGCUGAGGUGCGAAAGUGUGGGGAGCAAACAGGAUUAGAUACCCUGGUAGUCCACACCGUAAACGAUGAGAGCUAGUUGUUGGCAGGCAUGCCUGUCAGUGACGCAGCUAACGCAUUAAGCUCUCCGCCUGGGGAGUACGGUCGCAAGAUUAAAACUCAAAGGAAUUGACGG